GAGCGGCCCCGCCCCCUCAGUCCGAAUCCAGCCGGGACAGAGCCCGGAUCCAGCCGGGAAGCAGCCAGACUCCACCGCCAGACCCCCACCGCCAGACCCCACAGAGGCACGAAACGGUGCAGUGAAUAAACCUAUUUUGCAGUUAUCCCAGUCAGCAACAUCCACCUGUUGAACAUUAUUUGGACACUGACCCCACAAGAGAAAAACUGCAGGAUCCUGUGGAGAUACAGGGCUGGUUUGGAUACCCAGUCCUAUUCCAGCACCAGCCUGCGUGGUCUUUGCCCCAUGUCUUUGGGCCAUGUUACAGAUCUCUGGUGGUACCUACAGAAGCUCCUGUGCUGGGGUUAGGAAGGAUCUGCACUGUUUUCCCCUCUCUGGUGGCACAAACCUCUGAUUUAGGAAGAACAAAAGAGCUAAAAAUGCUUUGCCCAAUCACUUGGCAUCCUGCACUGGAAUAAGAAAGGUCAGGCAAUAACUUUUGUUCAAAAAGAAGACUUCAGUAGAAUGGAUUUAGUUUAUUUAAUAGCUAAGAAAAGGUCAUGUCUUUUGUUCUUUUAUUCUCACAUAAAUUGAUUUUGUAAAGUUGAAGUUGGUUUAUCACCGUUUGUGUUCUGUGGCUUUGUUAUUUCAGCACUGGAGAAAAGGUCAUCUUCUUGCUGGGUAUCUGAUAUUCCAUGGUCCAUUAAAACUGCAUUAUUUCUGCUGUAACUGAAGUUCUUUUCCUUUUCUUGCAUUUUUUUCCUCUCUUAUUUUUUCCCCCUGACUUCACCUGUCCCAAGACAACUCAGCUCAACUGGGUAGUUUGUCCUGCAGUGUAGUAUAGAUUUUUCUCAUGUUUUGUUCACUAUU